rnacentral:rRNA from 1 species
CUCAGUAGCUGCGAGCGAACAGGGAAGAGCCCAGCGCCGAAUUCCGCGUCCGAAAGGGCGUCUGGAACAUGUGGCGUUUAGGAGGAAUCUCUCCGAGGGCAGACGGUGUCGCAAGUCCCCCUGAACGGGGCUGUGAUCCAGAGCGGGUGCGAGGCCCAUAGCUGGUACCGUCUCCUUCGGGUGUCGCCUCCUUGGAGUCGGGUUGCUUGGGAGUGCAGCCCUAAUUGGGUGGUAAACUCCACCUAAGGCUAAAUACGUCCGUGAGACCGAUAGCAAACAAGUACCGUGAGGGAAAGUUGCAAAGAACUUUGAAGAGAGAGUUCAAGAGUACGUGAAACCGCUCAGAGGCAAACGGGUGGGCCCACGAAAGCCGAAGGCGGGGGGAUUCAGUCGAGAGGACGGCGGGGCAAGACUGGCUGGUCGGACGGACCGUGCCAGGCCGGGUCAGUUCCCGAGAUCCGUCGCCUUUCGACGCACUUCCCUCUGCUUAGUAGGACGCCGCAACCGGUCGGUGCUGCAGCCAUAAGGGAGAGUAUUCGGAAGGUAGCCAGCGAGUUCUUCUUCGGAGGCGCAAGCUGGUCCUAAGCCCGCUCCCCUGGUGCUUGUGGUCCGACCGUGGUCAGAGUCCCUGAACGGGAUGUUGCCGAGCCCUCCGUAUGGAGUGGGAGAGACUGCAGGCCACCUUCUGUGACGUUGCUUCACGCAUGCAGUGUGCAAGCGUUCGGAGGUGACUGCUGGCCUGUCUUUUCCCGCGCCGGGCACAGGCAGUUGGCGGCGAGUAGGUCGGUCACCCACCCGACCCGUCUUGAAACACGGACCAAGGAGUCUAACAUGUGCGCGAGUCAUUGGGUCUCGAAGAAGCCCAAAGGCGCAAUGAAAGUGAACACCAGCACUGAAGCUGGUGGAGUUGGGAAACUGCGUCGACGACGGCGCGGUUGCACCAACGGCCCGUCCCGUCCGCAUCGUCGGUGGGGCGGAGCGAGAGCGUACACGUUGGGACCCGAAAGAUGGUGAACUAUGCCUGGGCAGGACGAAGCCAGAGGAAACUCUGGUGGAGGUCCG